CUGCAGGCCUAGCUCUGCUGUCACUGGGCUGAAACCCACGUCCACCCUGGGCCCCUCCACCUGCCCUGAGCUCCCAGCCACGCGCAGGCUGCAGUGGCAGAGCUGUGGUGUUGGGCUCGGAGCUGAGCCCAAGUGGGGCACCUUGCCAAGGUGCAGCGGCCUCUCAGCCUCGCCUUCCUGCCUGUCCAGUGUCUUCCUUCUCUCUGGACUCGGUGGCCAGAGACCCGCAGGAGCUCUGGCGUUUCCUGACACAAAACCUGUCGCUGCCCAAUAGCACAGCCCAAGCCCUCCUGGCCGCCCGUGUGGACCCUCCCGAGGUCUACCACCUGCUCUUUGGUCCCUCGUCUGCCCUGGAUUCACAGUCCGGCCUCCACAAGGGUCAGGAGCCCUGGAGCCACCUAGGGAGCAAUCCCCUGUUCCGGAUGGAGGUUAGGGCAUCCAUGUGUGGGAUGGGACUGGAGUGCUGCCUGCCUCUGGGGUGCUUCUGCUCCGUG
rnacentral:lncRNA from 1 species